UACGAAGGGGGCUAGCGUUGCUCGGAAUCACUGGGCGUAAAGGGCGCGUAGGCGGCCAGCACAAGUCAGUUGUGAAAUCUCCGAGCUUAACUCGGAAAGGUCAACUGAUACUGUGCGGCUAGAGUCCGGAAGAGGCAAGUGGAAUUCCCGGUGUAGCGGUGAAAUGCGCAGAUAUCAGGAGGAACACUGGUGGCGAAGGCGGGUCUCUGGGCAGUAACUGACGCUGAGGAGCGAAAGCGUGGGGAGCGAACAGG
rnacentral:rRNA from 1 species